AUCUCCUAAGGCUAAAUACUCUCUAGUGACCGAUAGUGAACCAGUACCGUGAGGGAAAGGUGAAAAGCACCCCGGAAGGGGAGUGAAAUAGAACCUGAAACCGUGUGCUUACAAGUAGUCAGAGCCCGUUAAUGGGUGAUGGCGUGCCUUUUGUAGAAUGAACCGGCGAGUUACGAUUUGAUGCAAGGUUAAGCAGUAAAUGUGGAGCCGUAGCGAAAGCGAGUCUGAAUAGGGCGUUUAGUAUUUGGUCGUAGACCCGAAACCAGGUGAUCUACCCUUGGUCAGGUUGAAGUUCAGGUAACACUGAAUGGAGGACCGAACCGACUUACGUUGAAAAGUGAGCGGAUGAACUGAGGGUAGCGGAGAAAUUCCAAUCGAACCUGGAGAUAGCUGGUUCUCUCCGAAAUAGCUUUAGGGCUAGCCUCAAGUGAUGAUUAUUGGAGGUAGAGCACUGUUUGGACGAGGGGCCCCUCUCGGGUUACCGAAUUCAGACAAACUCCGAAUGCCAAUUAAUUUAACUUGGGAGUCAGAACAUGGGUGAUAAGGUCCGUGUUCGAAAGGGAAACAGCCCAGACCACCAGCUAAGGUCCCAAAAUAUAUGUUAAGUGGAAAAGGAUGUGGCGUUGCCCAGACAACUAGGAUGUUGGCUUAGAAGCAGCCAUCAUUUAAAGAGUGCGUAAUAGCUCACUAGUCGAGUGACACUGCGCCGAAAAUGUACCGGGGCUAAACAUAUUACCGAAGCUGUGGAUUGUCCUUUGGACAAUGGUAGGAGAGCGUUCUAAGGGCGUUGAAGCAUGAUCGUAAGGACAUGUGGAGCGCUUAGAAGUGAGAAUGCCGGUGUGAGUAGCGAAAGACGGGUGAGAAUCCCGUCCACCGAUUGACUAAGGUUUCCAGAGGAAGGCUCGUCCGCUCUGGGUUAGUCGGGUCCUAAGCUGAGGCCGACAGGCGUAGGCGAUGGAUAACAGGUUGAUAUUCCUGUACCACCUAUAAUCGUUUUAAUCGAUGGGGGGACGCAGUAGGAUAGGCGAAGCGUGCGAUUGGAUUGCACGUCUAAGCAGUAAGGCUGAGUAUUAGGCAAAUCCGGUACUCAUUAAGGCUGAGCUGUGAUGGGGAGAAGACAUUGUGUCUUCGAGUCGUUGAUUUCACACUGCCGAGAAAAGCCUCUAGAUAGAAAAUAGGUGCCCGUACCGCAAACCGACACAGGUAGUCAAGAUGAGAAUUCUAAGGUGAGCGAGCGAACUCUCGUUAAGGAACUCGGCAAAAUGACCCCGUAACUUCGGGAGAAGGGGUGCUCUUUAGGGUUAACGCCCAGAAGAGCCGCAGUGAAUAGGCCCAAGCGACUGUUUAUCAAAAACACAGGUCUCUGCUAAACCGUAAGGUGAUGUAUAGGGGCUGACGCCUGCCCGGUGCUGGAAGGUUAAGAGGAGUGGUUAGCUUCUGCGAAGCUACGAAUCGAAGCCCCAGUAAACGGCGGCCGUAACUAUAACGGUCCUAAGGUAGCGAAAUUCCUUGUCGGGUAAGUUCCGACCCGCACGAAAGGCGUAACGAUUUGGGCACUGUCUCAACGAGAGACUCGGUGAAAUCAUAGUACCUGUGAAGAUGCAGGUUACCCGCGACAGGACGGAAAGACCCCGUGGAGCUUUACUGUAGCCUGAUAUUGAAAUUCGGCACAGCUUGUACAGGAUAGGUAGGAGCCUUUGAAACGUGAGCGCUAGCUUACGUGGAGGCGCUGGUGGGAUACUACCCUAGCUGUGUUGGCUUUCUAACCCGCACCACUUAUCGUGGUGGGAGACAGUGUCAGGCGGGCAGUUUGACUGGGGCGGUCGCCUCCUAAAAGGUAACGGAGGCGCUCAAAGGUUCCCUCAGAAUGGUUGGAAAUCAUUCAUAGAGUGUAAAGGCAUAAGGGAGCUUGACUGCGAGACCUACAAGUCGAGCAGGGUCGAAAGACGGACUUAGUGAUCCGGUGGUUCCGCAUGGAAGGGCCAUCGCUCAACGGAUAAAAGCUACCCCGGGGAUAACAGGCUUAUCUCCCCCAAGAGUUCACAUCGACGGGGAGGUUUGGCACCUCGAUGUCGGCUCAUCGCAUCCUGGGGCUGUAGUCGGUCCCAAGGGUUGGGCUGUUCGCCCAUUAAAGCGGUACGCGAGCUGGGUUCAGAACGUCGUGAGACAGUUCGGUCCCUAUCCGUCGUGGGCGUAGGAAAUUUGAGAGGAGCUGUCCUUAGUACGAGAGGACCGGGAUGGACAUACCUCUGGUGUACCAGUUGUCGUGCCAACGGCAUAGCUGGGUAGCUAUGUGUGGACGGGAUAAGUGCUGAAAGCAUCUAAGCAUGAAGCCCCCCUCAAGAUGAGAUUUCCCAACUUCGGUUAUAAGAUCCCUCAAAGAU
rnacentral:rRNA from 1 species